ensembl:lncRNA
CGCAGAGCAUUGUGGGAAACGUAUUCGAGGAACUUCGACGUUCACUCAUUGACCCAAGGAAGGAUGGCGAACAUCCUCUGAGAUCAGAAGAUGGAAUCAUCAAGAGAACAGAGACCAGCACUGGGCGGUAGCAGGGAGGCAGACCUUGUGAAUACGCCCCUUGGGGAGGAGCCAGUGAAGGCGCACCUGCGGGCAUCGCAGCAGCUCUUGGUGGAUUCUCUGUACAACAUCGCCCCACUUCUCGACCACAUGUUGGCCGCCAAUCUGCUCUCCCAAGACAACUACUUCCAGGUUCAAGCGGAACGAACACCAACCGAUCGUGCUCGCAAGCUGCUUGAGGUGGUUCACGCCCAGAUGGAUGAGCGUGGGGUGCAGGCUUUCCUAGACUGCCUGAGGAAGUGUGAGAACCAUUACCCCCGCCUGCGCAAGUGGUUUCACAGGACCAUAGAAUCUCAGUGUGAAAACGUAGCUGUUCGGUGUGGUCCAACAGAAACCAGGCUCCGGGCUCAGUUCAGUAUGCUGUGUCAUCGUCUGGGUGUCUCGGUGCUGCCUGUUUCUCUCCAGCUAUUCUCUGAAGGAACACUUACUCAGCUGGAGGUGGACCAGGUGCAGUCUUUGCCCACCUCUUACCAGCAGAUUCAGCGUCUCCUGUCCAUCUGUUUGUCAAAGGGCGAGAAUGCCUGUAGGGGCUUCUACCAGGCUUUCCAUGGGGAAGAUGCACACCUAGCCAAAGAGAUCGAUGCUCACUCUAUCACUGAAGAAGACACAAAAAGCCUGCUCUCUGUGGCUGUGGAAGAGAGCAGAACUGCAGCUCCCCUGGAUGAGCCUGACACAGGGCUGCAACUCUCAGAGAGAGGGAUCCUGCUCCUGGAGCUGCUGGCAGAAGCAGAUCAUCUCCUCCAUGAUGGCCGUGUCCAGCCUCUGGUGGUGCACAUCUUCACCUUCCUGCUGUGGGACACCCUGACAGAGGCAGCGGAGGAGCCAAGCGCAGAACUACGGUCAGGCGUACCAGAAGCUGUGCAGAUGCUGCGGACCGGCGGCAGGGUGGAGGCAGAGCUGCUGCUGGAGCUGGAGGAGUGCUGGGAAGAAGAGCCAACGGUGGACAGCUUGCGGCAGUUUGCACGCGCUCUCUCUCUGCUGAUCCAGGAUUUGUACCCUUGUCAGGACAGCCUGCACCUGUGCGCUGCCCACCACAAAGGGGAACUGGCUGUUUGCAGGCCACGAAGGCUUCAAAGGAUCACACGCUUCCGAGGCCUGCCCGGCAGGAUCAUCAGCAGGGCAUUGGGUACCCUGCCGUCAACAUCUGAAUCUCUGCAGAACCAGUACCGGGGAAUCUGCCUAGCUGUAGCUCGUCUGCUGGAGCGUCUGUGCCCCGCAGAAGGUGGUACUGCUCACCUGCCUAGUGCUGCUACUGCUGCCACUGCCAGUGCAAGCACCGCCAAGAUCACCCAGCAUGUGCGUGCCAUGUUGGCCCAGCCUGCCUUCAGUUCGGAUGUGUUUGACGGUGGCGUUCGACAUCGCCUGCUCUCAGUGCUCCACUUUGAUCCUGCAAAACUGGAGCUGCCCUGCCUGCUGAAGCUGCACCGGGACAGCCUGGAAGUUCUGGGACGCUACCUGAGAGUCAGCGAGCGUCACUCCUUCCAGCUGCACCCAGAUGGACUGCUAGUGCUGGGGGGCAGAGCUGAACUCUACUGGGCUGAAAGUGUCACAGGCCCUGUUGCCAUUGACAAUGGGAUGGAAGAGGUGUUUCGUUUCCUCACCUCGGGUCCUGCCUCCAUGCUUAUGCGUAUUUGUUGCCACGGUUACGAGGAUAGGGAGUACUUCCGAGUGCACGAGCCCCACUGUGUAUGUCUGUCAGGCCUGGGAGAGGGGGGCGUUGCUGAGUUGCAACGCAUGGGGUUGCAGGUGCUGGGAGAAGAAUCAGGCGAGGUCUGGGUGAGGGAGGCUGGGUCAGCCAAUGAGCUUGUCACAUUGGCAGAGAAACAUGGCAGCCAGGUGCAGGAAGCUGGCUGCUGUUUCCUGCUCAAAACCCCAGGGCCUCACUGUGAGGUCAGGUUUGUGUACAAACACAGGAGGAUCACAGCAUCUAGCAAGAGCAACUGUGAAGUGAUAUAA